AUGCAGGAGACACAGGUUUGAUCCCUGGGUCAGGAAGAUUCCCUGAAGAAGGAAACAGUAUUCUUACCUGGCUAUUUACUUAGAGUGGAUUUCAUUUAUAAACUCUCAAGAUGCCAAAGAAAUAAGUCAUUUUCUGAGAAGUGUCUGCUGAAGUGGAAAAAGUGGGAGAAUCAAAAAAUAUGCUUCUAAGGGAAAUCUGGAUGAAUAUAUACAAAGAAGGAAGCUGAUAUGAAGGCAACUACAUGAUGGCGAAGAUGGGACAGACGAAACUGCAAGCCAAGUAAUGCCAAAGAACUGCCUACCACCAGCAACUAGAAAGAAGCAAGUAAGGAUUCUACGCAGAGUCUCAGAUGGAGCAUAGCUCUGCUGACACAUGGAUUUUAUAUUUCCAGCCUGUAGAUUUGUAAAAUAAUACAUUUCUGCUUGUUCUAAGCCACCUAGUUUGUGAUACUUUGUUACAGUCACUCAGUGUUAGUCACUCAGCUGUGUUCAACUCUUUGUAACCCCAUGGACUGUAGCCUGCCAGGUUCCUCUGUCCAUGGAUUCUCCAGGCAAGAAUAUUGGAGUGGGUUGCCAUUUCCUUCUUUCGGGGGAUAUUCUCGACUCAUGGAUCUGAUCAGGUCUCCCACCUUGUGGGCAGAAGCCAUACUUUGUUUUAGUAACCCUAGCCAAAUAAUAUAAAAUCCACUCACUACCUGUCAUGAAAAUUUUUCCUUGAGAAAGACAUCUGGAAGAAUGGGUUAAUAAUAGAGAAUGUAAUACUCUGCUUAUUAAUAUGUAGCCCUUCGAUAUAUUUUUAGAUGCUUUUAAAUGUGAAUUUCUGUUAUUAAUACAAAAGCUAUGCAUGUUCACUAAAGAAAAUGUUCAAAAUAGUGACAGGUGGUCUGAAUGGGUCCUUCCUUGCCCUGUAGUGUUUUCUCCAUAGAGCAGCUAGGAUGAACUAAUUGAAAUAUUGAUCUUGCCUCUUCUCUCAUUAAAACCCUUCAAUGACUUUUUCAUCUCACUCAGAGCAAAUCUAUAGAAUUUAAGUGACUUAUAAUCCAUAUAAAUCAUUACAGUAAUUAUUCUCAAUAAACUGGGAGCAUUUGAAAACUGCUGUUGUCUGAGUUCCUUCUUAAAUUCAAACAGAUCUCUGAGGGUGUGGACUGGGCAUGGGUAUUUUGAAAGUCUCUCUUGGUGAUUCUGAAGUAAGAUAAAGAACCACUACCUGUCACAGUUUCUCCUAUCCACUCCUAAAACCCUUAUUUUUUCUCCUGUUAUUUCUUCGACCUCAUGUCCUACUACCUUCAUCCUGGCUGCACUGGCCUCCUUGCUGUACCUUAUAAUCCUCAAGCAUGCUCUCACUUGCUCUUUGUUCUGUCGCUGCACCAUCAGGUAUUCAUUUACAUGACUGGCUUCUUCACUUCAUUCAGGUCUUUGCUCAAAGGAAACUUUACCAGUGAAGCCUUUUCUGACCCCUUUAAAAAAUACUCUCCACAUUCCAUCCCCUACUCCUGCC
ensembl:lncRNA